AGUCGAGCGAAUGAGAAGAGCUUGCUCUUCGAUUCAGCGGCGGACGGGUGAGUAAUGCCUAGGAAUCUGCCUGGUAGUGGGGGACAACGUUUCGAAAGGAACGCUAAUACCGCAUACGUCCUACGGGAGAAAGCAGGGGACCUUCGGGCCUUGCGCUAUCAGAUGAGCCUAGGUCGGAUUAGCUAGUUGGUGAGGUAAUGGCUCACCAAGGCGACGAUCCGUAACUGGUCUGAGAGGAUGAUCAGUCACACUGGAACUGAGACACGGUCCAGACUCCUACGGGAGGCAGCAGUGGGGAAUAUUGGACAAUGGGCGAAAGCCUGAUCCAGCCAUGCCGCGUGUGUGAAGAAGGUCUUCGGAUUGUAAAGCACUUUAAGUUGGGAGGAAGGGCAUUAACCUAAUACGUUAGCGUUUUGACGUUACCGACAGAAUAGGCACCGGCUAACUCUGUGCCAGCAGCCGCGGUAAUACAGAGGGUGCAAGCGUUAAUCGGAAUUACUGGGCGUAAGGCGCGCGUAGGUGGUUUGUUAAGUUGAAUGUGAAAGCCCCGGGCUCAACCUGGGAACUGCAUCCAAAACUGGCAAGCUAGAGUACGGUAGAGGGUGGUGGAAUUUCCUGUGUAGCGGUGAAAUGCGUAGAUAUAGGAAGGAACACCAGUGGCGAAGGCGACCACCUGGACUGAUACUGACACUGAGGUGCGAAAGCGUGGGGAGCAAACAGGA
rnacentral:rRNA from 1 species